UGCGGAUGUGGUGAAAUUGGUAUACACGCACGCUUGAGGGGUGUGUAGCGAAAGCUUUACGAGUUCGAGUCUCGUCAUCCGCAA
rnacentral:tRNA from 1 species